rnacentral:misc_RNA from 1 species
AAGUCGUAACAAGGUUUCCGUAGGUGAACCUGCGGAAGGAUCAUUACUGAGUUAGGGUCUUCAUGGCCCGAAUCUCCAACCCUAUGUUUAAACACCUUUGUUGCUUUGGCAGGCCCGUCUUUCGGGACCGCCGGAGAUGAUUCCAUCUCUGGCCCGUUGCCUGCCAGUAGCCAAAUCAAAUUCUUUAUAAUUAUGUAGUCUGAAUCUUUAAUUAAAUAAAUUAAAACUUUCAACAACGGAUCUCUUGGUUCUG